rnacentral:rRNA from 1 species
ACUCGCGGCCUAUCAGCUUGUUGGUGAGGUAAUGGCUCACCAAGGCGACGACGGGUAGCCGGCCUGAGAGGGUGACCGGCCACACUGGGACUGAGACACGGCCCAGACUCCUACGGGAGGCAGCAGUGGGGAAUAUUGCACAAUGGGCGAAAGCCUGAUGCAGCGACGCCGCGUGAGGGAUGACGGCCUUCGGGUUGUAAACCUCUUUCAGUAGGGAAGAAGCGAAAGUGACGGUACCUGCAGAAGAAGCGCCGGCUAACUACGUGCCAGCAGCCGCGGUAAUACGUAGGGCGCAAGCGUUAUCCGGAAUUAUUGGGCGUAAAGAGCUCGUAGGCGGUUUGUCGCGUCUGCCGUGAAAGUCCGGGGCUCAACUCCGGAUCUGCGGUGGGUACGGGCAGACUAGAGUGAUGUAGGGGAGACUGGAAUUCCUGGUGUAGCGGUGAAAUGCGCAGAUAUCAGGAGGAACA